rnacentral:lncRNA from 1 species
GGCAGAAUUAAGAUUACUUCUUCCCAAAUGACCAAGUUAUCAUAUAUUAGGCUUCACAAUUGACCCUCUGUCCAGUUAAAAUACUACCAAACCAGUAUUUAACUACAUUUCCUUUCUCAUUUGUCCCCCUCGACAGUAUUUUAAUAUUAACAACAUAAUAGAAAAUAUUCCAGCUUUUAAAAGUCCUCUAGUCUUUAAUAUUUAGUGCUUUAUAUUUUCAAUAAAAUUAAGAUAUUAAAAGCUUGUCAAAGAUCCCAAGUUUCUCUGAAAUUGCAAAGUUUCUGUACAAUACCCAAGUCUGAAAACUGGUUUCCUGUAAAAUUAGAAUGAGUUAAAUACUCUCUAAUUCCAAGAGGGAAGAUCCAGGGCAAAUUCAAAGUAAAGCCAAACUCCAAGAAUAUUAAAAGCUCAUGUCUGACAUAUGGGACUCACUACCUAUCUUCUAGGCUCUAAAGAGCCUAGUCCCUGCCAAUUGUAACACAUGCAGCUUGUCGCAGAGUUUCAAGCUGAAUCUAAGUCACUACUCUUUUGACCUUGGUUGUCUUCCCACGGUUCUGUCAUUGUCAAAAUUCUGGGAACUUUAUAACUUCAUUUGGAACUCAGCCCCUUCCUCACAGUGGCAAGCCUCAAUUUCUUACCAUGACCGCUUCAGUUCUCGAUUUUUCCUGUAGCUAAAGUUGUACAUUCACCAAUGGUCUCUCCUGUCCUCUUAGAACAGAAGCAGGGCCCAUGGAAAGCACUGCUUACUGAGCUGCUCAGCUAAUCUUCUUUUAAUUGCAGGGACACCUCUCAGCAGUGCCACCACCCACCAUGGGCUAGCCCUCACACUUCAAACACUGAUCAAGAAUAUACUUGAGAGACUUUCCCACAUGGUAAUAUUAUAUAGAUUUUUUCUCAACUUACUGACAAAAAUAAAUAGCCAACAUAGGACAUUUGUCUGAGUUUUCAACUUAGUGAGCACAAUUUUAUUCUCAGUAACUCCCUGGUAUUACUUCAUACUCAAGGAAAUCUGGAAACAUUUUACCCACAGGCAAAAUAUUAAUUUUUUUCUACACAAAGAUUUUUACUAUUGAAAUGAUGGGUCUGGAGUAAGAUCAAUAUGAUGUUAAACCUGUCACAUUAUAAAAAUUUAGGAGUGCAGUUUAUUUAUCCCACUAAUUUUGAGGUAGAAUUUUUCCCUACAGUCAUAAUCCACUUAUCCUCCACAAAUGAUCAUUAUUAAGGUCAUUUCAACUACUCUCCUACAACAUUAGAGAAUUUACAAAGUGAAAUCACUAUUUGCAUUUUCAUAUAUUAGGAUAUAAUUACCUCCACUUAAGCUAGAACACAUAAAAAGAGCAAUCACGUAUAAAUUAUAACUUUGAAUAGUUGUAUAGUAGGGAUUAUUUCCAUUCCAUAACCUUACAUAUACUACUGUAAUUAACAUACUGAUGAAGGUGUCUAAUUGUUGUAAUGAAUCUUUGCAGCACUGUUAUCCUUUUAUAUGAAUUCGUUGUAGCCAUGCUUUCAGAACAUCAACAUGCUGAAAGGAUUAUACAACCCUUCAGAUGAAAGUAAGAAAUCACAUAUCUGGACUCUGACAUAUAUAUGACUAUUCUGAAUCAGCUGUGCAAAGGAAGCAUUAGUCCUGGCAUUUCUCUUUUGAGAGAGAAUCACUCAUAAAGUAUUUGAAGUGUUCCCUUGACGUGAAACUAUAGAGGAAUAUGGGCAGUUAUCUCUUUUUUUAAAAAAUCAAUUUUUAUUCCCAAGUUGAGUGAACAAGGUGAACAUUUGGCUGUUAAAUGUUUGUUUUGUAUUUUACUUUUGUGUGCAUUGUUCAAAACAAAUGUCCUUAAUUGACUUGCAAUGGUAGCAGAUCAAUUCUAGAAUGUCAGGGAUGUUGGAAAACAGAUGGCUAUGUGGAAACCAUCCCUCCCAAGAGCCACCCAGAGUUCCAUAUGUCCAGGUCUAUGUGUAAUGUGUGUUGUGCUGCUUUCUUUUAUUUUGAAGUUUCAGUGAUGAAUGUGUGUGCUGAUCAACUCUUCCCUAUGCAAGCUCUGCCUCUUUAAUCCAUUCUAUGUAGAAUUCAGAGCACUUUGUUAAUUCAGGGAAUGCUAAUGGGUUUUUUUUUUUUAAAAAUGGAGAAAGUCAGAAAAACAAAUCCAAUGUCUCAUCUGAUAAUCACAUUUGUUCUGUGCCUAGCUUCAAUAGCCUCUGUUUUAUUGCACAAAGAAGAUAAGAAGAUAGGAAAUAAGAAAUAUCUUCAUGAACUCUGACCACGUGCAUUCAGAAGAGUGUGUGAAGCUUCAAGAGGUCCUUGUUUGAAGAAUAAGAAAAUAUUAAAAAACAUAAAAGCAUUGUCUGACAAUUCUUGUGAGAAGCUUUUGUGAUUUUUUUGAAUAUUGAUAUCAUAUCAACAUAACCACAUGUUGCCCUCUAUUAGCAGAUUAUGCAUAAAACACAGCAAAGCACAAAUGUGUUAAUCUCCUGAACCAUAUUUGAUACUGUCUGUUAAUUCUGGUGACACCAGGUAUGCACAUGGUUUACAUAUAUGCAUGCAGACUAAUCUCUCAUACACAUAAAAUAAAAUAAAAUAAAAUAAAACAAAACUAACAAUU